AUUGAACGCUGGCGGCAUGCCUUACACAUGCAAGUCGAACGGCAGUACGGGUGCUUGCACCUGGUGGCGAGUGGCGAACGGGUGAGUAAUACAUCGGAACGUACCUUAUCAUGGGGGAUAAAGCAGCGAAAGUUGCGCUAAUACCGCAUACGCCCUGAGGGGGAAAGCGGGGGACCGUAAGGCCUCGCGCGAUUAGAGCGGCGGAUGUCUGAUUAGCUUGUUGGUGAGGUAAAAGCUCACCAAGGCGAUGAUCAGUAGCUGGUCUGAGAGGACGAUCAGCCACACUGGGACUGGGACACGGCCCAGACUCCUACGGGAGGCAGCAGUGGGGAAUUUUGGACAAUGGGGGCAACCCUGAUCCAGCAAUGCCGCGUGAGUGAAGAAGGCCUUCGGGUUGUAAAGCUCUUUUGUCAGGGAAGAAACAGCAGCUCUAACACAGUCUGCGAAUGACGGUACCUGAAGAAUAAGCACCGGCUAACUACGUGCCAGCAGCCGCAGUAA
rnacentral:rRNA from 1 species